AUACGUAGGUGGCAAGCGUUGUCCGGAAUUAUUGGGCGUAAAGCGCAUGUAGGCGGUGCCUUAAGUCUGUCGUGAAACUGCGGGGCCUAACCCCGUAUGGCGAUGGAAACUGUGGCACUUGAGUGCAGGAGAGGAAAGGGGAACUCCCAGUGUAGCGGUGAAAUGCGUAGAUAUUGGGAAGAACACCGGUGGCGAAGGCGCCUUUCUGGACUGUGUCUGACGCUGAGAUGCGAAAGCCAGGGUAGCGAACGGGAUUAGAUACCCCGGUAGUCCUGGCCGUAAACGAUGGGUACUAGGUGUGGGAGGUAUCGACCCCUUCCGUGCCGGAGUUAACGCAAUAAGUACCCCGCCUGGGGAGUACGGCCGCAAGGCUUAAACUCAAAGGAAUUGACGGGG
rnacentral:rRNA from 1 species